CCUACGGGAGGCAGCAGUAAGGAAUAUUGGUCAAUGGGCGGAAGCCUGAACCAGCCAUGCCGCGUGCAGGAAGACGGCCCUACGGGUUGUAAACUGCUUUUGCAGGGGAAUAAACCCCGGUACGUGUACCGGGCUGAAUGUACUCUGAGAAUAAGGAUCGGCUAACUCCGUGCCAGCAGCCGCGGUAAUACGGAGGAUCCAAGCGUUAUCCGGAUUUAUUGGGUUUAAAGGGUGCGUAGGCGGCCUAUUAAGUCAGGGGUGAAAGACGGUAGCUUAACUAUCGCAGUGCCUUUGAUACUGAUGGGCUUGAAUGGACUAGAGGUAGGCGGAAUGUGACAAGUAGCGGUGAAAUGCAUAGAUAUGUCACAGAACACCAAUUGCGAAGGCAGCUUACUAUGGUUUAAUUGACGCUGAGGCACGAAAGCGUGGGGAUCAAACAGGAUUAGAUACCCUGGUAGUCCACGCCCUAAACGAUGAACACUCGAUGUUAGCGAUAUACAGUUAGCGUCUAAGCGAAAGCGUUAAGUGUUCCACGUGGGAGGUACGCCGCCGACGGAGGUAACGUACGAAGAAGUUAGUACGGCGUUGAGACGNGCGACGGACGACGACGAGGGAGGAGG
rnacentral:rRNA from 1 species